AUUAAAUAGAUGCAAGGGGUCCCUGGAAGCUUUGUUGUGAUUAAAGAGGCAUUUCCUGAGGUCCCAGUGAUACCUUGCAUGGGAUUGCUGGCAAACCAGUGAAAUCAUUUUGUGCUCUUUGAACAGUAAUAUUUAAAACAAUUUAUCCUGCAAUGACAUCUGGUGGUUGCUUUUCUUUGACAGGAAAUUCUUGCAGAAGCAUCCUAGGCAAGCCUUGCCACAGGGUAGAUCUUCCUGUGGCAAUAAUUCACUGGGGAUCUACUUUUGUGGAGAAGUGCACGUUUUAACAAGUUUCAACAGUUUUGUCAAUGAACAGCCCACAGCCCCUCCUUGGAGCCAGCCGCUGCAGCCAGAUUUCUUGUUGGGAAUGAUCUGAUGGGCAAGUAUCCAGCAGAGAAGCCACUGCUGCUUUGGAAAGAUGUACGGGGGUCAUCCUGCUGAGUUGCCACUGAACAUCACUGUGCUGCAAAGGGGAUCUCUGCUUAGGUGCCUCGUAAAGGCAAGGGAGCCAUGCAAGACUGGCAGGAGCAAGCUGCCUUGAUUGCGUCCUUCCAGACAACCUCUGACAAACCUUAAAAGACAGAGAAGGUACAAACGCCCCUCAACUGUCUCUUCCCUGGAGCUGUUCACCAUGGACUAACCGGAGAAAACUGAUGGACCUGUUUCCCUUUCCCAGCUGCAGUGAGAGCAGCUGCUCAGGCACUGGCAGUGCCCAGAACUGGUCUCAUCAGGGGCAUUCACGUCCUUGGUGUCACUCAUAUCCUCAUGGCUGGAGCUGGACCUGUGGUCCUUGGAUGUCUGUGCAAGUCCUUGUGGCCAUCGAGGUGGACGUUUCGGAGCCUGUGGCUAUCGCAGGCAAUCUCCUGGCCACCAGGUGGAACCCAAGCCAUGCCUCUCCUCUCCAAGAUGCACUGCCAGCGGCUCCUCUUGGAAACCUGCAGGCAACUCAAGGCUCCUCUUGCUUUUUUCUUCACACUGAAGAAUCAGGAUCUGAACUCAUUUCUGUCAUGGUUUAACAUCCUCAGCAUGUCUGAACAUCUUUCUGCACCAUUUUUAGGAUGCUGUAACCCAGCUCUCCUCGCUGCCUGGUGGUCAGAGAUUAGAGGACUAGGAUGUUUCACUGGCAGACGGCAGGGUCUUGCUUCAACAUCAAAAGCUAACUACCAUAGAUUGAUCAAGAAAUUACAGAGUGGAAGACAAAUUUUCAAUGCAUAUAUGUAAUGCCAGGAGAAUUUUCUUCAGAUUCAGCACCACAAUUUAGUACAACAGCAAAGUUCAGGGAGAAAAAAAGAUUUGCUGACAGAAAAGCCUGAACUUCUCAGCAGCAGCCCAGCUAACAUUUCCUGAAAUGGCAAUUGCACUAUAAACAGACUCACUCUGUUGGCUGUAGGGCACUGUCUCAUCUGGAAACACCCAUUUCGCAGUGGCUGCACAAUUAACAGAUAUUUCCCUAAUAAUUCACUGUCUGGAAUAUUUUGCUUUUUUUUUCAAUAAAAUUUCCUUGCCACUAAAAAGUGUACA
rnacentral:lncRNA from 1 species